rnacentral:rRNA from 1 species
CANAGCCAAAGGCCCUUGCCCUUAAUGUAGACGANCGACCUUNCGUUAAUGAUUAUUGACCUUCUUGUACUGAUUGAUAUUUAAACACGAAUGAGUGGACAACGGGUAAAUCACACGUGGCCAACCUGCCAACAAGUAAUAACNAACACCUAGAAAGACAUNCUCCUUCCAAAUAUAAAAGCCACCCCCAUGGCUUUCUUCUAAAGCUCUUUCUGCUCUCCCUUCUGGACGGACCCCCGGUUUUCUAGUUAGUUGGUGACCUAAAGGCCAACCAAGGC